rnacentral:rRNA from 1 species
GACGAACGCUGGCGGCGUGCUUAACACAUGCAAGUCGAACGGAAAGGCCCUGCUUUUGUGGGGUGCUCGAGUGGCGAACGGGUGAGUAACACGUGAGUAACCUGCCCUUGACUUUGGGAUAACUUCAGGAAACUGGGGCUAAUACCGGAUAGGAGCUCCUGCUGCAUGGUGGGGGUUGGAAAGUUUCGGCGGUUGGGGAUGGACUCGCGGCUUAUCAGCUUGUUGGUGGGGUAGUGGCUUACCAAGGCUUUGACGGGUAGCCGGCCUGAGAGGGUGACCGGCCACAUUGGGACUGAGAUACGGCCCAGAGUCCUACGGGAGGCAGCAGUGGGAAAUAUUGCACAAUGGGCGGAAGCCUGAUGCAGCAACGCCGCGUGCGGGAUGACGGCCUUCGGGUUGUAAACCGCUUUCGCCUGUGACGAAGCGGGAGUGACGGUAAUGGGUAAAGAAGCACCGGCUAACUACGUG